AUUCAGCUGAAGGGUUCCAUAUGGGACGAAACGCACGUCCUAGAU
rfam:Schistosoma curassoni strain Dakar, Senegal genome assembly, scaffold: SCTD_scaffold0000421